GACGUAGGGCGCGAGCGUUGUCCGGAUUUAUUGGGCGUAAAGAGCUCGUAGGCGGCUUGUCGCGUCGACUGUGAAAACCCGCGGCUCAACUGCGGGCCUGCAGCCGAUACGGGCAGGCUAGAGUUCGGUAGGGGAGACUGGAAUUCCUGGUGUAGCGGUGAAAUGCGCAGAUAUCGGGAAGAACACCCGUGGCGAAGGCGGUUCUCUGGGACGGUACUGACGCUGAGACGCGAAAGCGUGGGGAGCGAACAGG
rnacentral:rRNA from 1 species